rnacentral:rRNA from 1 species
UACGUAGGCAGCAAGCGUUUGUUCGGAAUUACUGGGCGUAAAGAGUGUGUAGGCGGUGCUCUAAGUUUGGUGUGAAAUCUCCCGGCUCAACUGGGAGGGUGCGCCGAAAACUGGAAUGCUUGAACGUGGGAGAGGAAAGCGGAAUUCCUGGUGUAGCGGUGAAAUGCGUAGAUAUCAGGAGGAACACCUGCGGUGUAGACGGCUUUCUGGACCAUUGUUGACGCUGAGACACGAAAGCGUGGGUAGCAAACAGG